CUGAAUAUGAAGGAAGAAGAGGAGGAGGAGAAGAAGAAAAGGUCGUUGUUUGCCUUUCUUCGGACUAGGCGCAACAAAACAAAAAUGGGUGUUGGCUUGAAAAGAGAUAUUGUAUGGGAAUGUGGUGGAGAUUCAAAAAACCCCUUUCAAUUGAAUCAGAAGCAUUUUGAUAUCUCCUCUCAGUUAUAACCACUGGAUGUUCCAUUAUUCAGAACAAAUGCUGUGCUAGUGCAGGAUUUUGCAUGGUGUUUGUUUCAUUUUGAAUGUGAUCGAAGUGCUUGGACUUGUAAUGACGAGCAGAGCGUUUCUUCCGGUUUCUAAAAUGCGUGAGACUUGUGUCUUACUGUAACAAUAUAUGAAUUUUAUUUAUAAAUUCACAUAUAAUUUACGAAUUUCCGAAACGGUUAUUAGCUGGGUCUUCCAAAAGAGUAGGAAAUUUGAGGUACAGAAUGUAAUAUACAUAAAUGAAGAUCCUGUCCUAAUUUCCAACCACUGUUUCCAGUAAUAUUCUUGGGUUUUGCCCUUUUAAUGGAAUGAGUCGGUUGAAUCAUUUGUGUAAUUACUUGGAAGAAAUCGAAGAUACUGAGUCACUUAUUAGGCCCUUCA